GAUGAAGAACGUAGCGAAAUGCGAUAAGUAAUGUGAAUUGCAGAAUUCAGUGAACCAUCGAAUCUUUGAACGCACAUUGCGCCAGCCAGUAUUCUGGCGGGCAUGCCUGUCCGAGCGUCAUCUCAACCCUCGAGCCCCCCCGGGGGCUCGGCGUUGGGGACCGGCCCCGCCCCAGGGCGCGCCGCCCCCCAAAUCCAGUGGCGGUCCCGCCGCAGCCUCCCCUGCGCAGUAGCUUGAACACUCGCACCGGAGAGCGGCGCGGCCACGCCGUAAAACCCCCCGACCACGGAGCCCCGGCUCCUGAACGUUGACCUCGGAUCAGGUAGGAAUACCCGCUGAACUUAAGCAUAUCAAUAAGCGGAGGA
rnacentral:misc_RNA from 1 species